rnacentral:rRNA from 1 species
GACGAACGCUGGCGGCGUGCUUAACACAUGCAAGUCGAACGAAGAGCGACGGAAGCUUGCUUCUAUCAAUCUUAGUGGCGCACGGGUGAGUAACGCGUAAUCAACCUGCCCUUCAGAGGGGGACAACAGUUGGAAACGACUGCUAAUACCGCAUACGAUCUAAUCUCGGCAUCGAGGAUGGAUGAAAGGUGGCCUCUACAUGUAAGCUAUCACUGAAGGUGGGGAUUGCGUCUGAUUAGCUAGUUGGAGGGGUAACGGCCCACCAAGGCGAUGAUCAGUAGCCGGUCUGAGAGGAUGAACGGCCACAUUGGGACUGAGACACGGCCCAGACUCCUACGGGAGGCAGCAGUGGGGAAUCUUCCGCAAUAGACGGAAGUCUGACGGAGCAACGCCGCGGGAGUGAUGACGGCCGUCGGGUUGUAAAGCUCGGUUAAUCGGGACGAAAGGCCUUCUUGCGAAUAGGGAGAAGGAUUGACGGUACCGGAAUAGAAAGCCACGGCUAACUACGUG